rnacentral:rRNA from 1 species
AACGCGAAGAACCUUACCUGGUCUUGACAUCCACGGAAGUUUUCAGAGAUGAGAAUGUGCCUUCGGGAACCGUGAGACAGGUGCUGCAUGGCCGUCGUCAGCUCGUGUUGUGAAAUGUUGGGUUAAGUCCCGCAACGAGCGCAACCCUUAUCCUUUGUUGCCAGCGGUCCGGCCGGGAACUCAAAGGAGACUGCCAGUGAUAAACUGGAGGAAGGUGGGGAUGACGUCAAGUCAUCAUGGCCCUUACGACCAGGGCUACACACGUGCUACAAUGGCGCAUACAAAGAGAAGCGACCUCGCGAGAGCAAGCGGACCUCAUAAAGUGCGUCGUAGUCCGGAUUGGAGUCUGCAACUCGACUCCAUGAAGUCGGAAUCGCUAGUAAUCGUGGAUCAGAAUGCCACGGUGAAUACGUUCCCGGGUCUUGUACACACCG